rnacentral:lncRNA from 1 species
GAUCUCUAAGCCCUGUGGCCUCACCUAACAGUUAUUGGCAUAUUUCUUUGUUAAGUCUGACCCACCGUUCACCAGCGAGUGCAAAGUCGUCAUUGAGUCCCUCACCUAAUAGUUAUUAGGCUCAACCCCAUCUUUAUCCCGAGGCAUCUAAUGCCAAUAGAGUGAUUGUGCCUUUCUUAUUCAACCAAACCACUAUUACCAGUGGAGAACGAUCAAUGUCAGAAAAGGCACCCGCAUCUCUACAACGAUGGAAGAUCAAAGACUUAAUAUUUAGUGAGGAGAUUUGUAUUCAGAUCUCUUUUAAUUAGUCACAUACAUCUGAUGUAAUGACUAAUAUGGUUUGGAUCAGC